AAGACUAUACUUUCAGGGAUCAUUUCUAUAGUUUGUUAAUUUACAUCAUACUUAUAGGCUAAGAGACUGCUCAUAUCCUCACUAUUCCAAGAUAUUAUCUAUUGAGGA
rnacentral:snoRNA from 1 species